AUGGACAGUCUUCUUCACUGGGAUUUUGCCUCGGGGCUUGCCCUUGCGGAUCAGGUGAGGAGAAAAUUUGGUUCCACGGUGCACUUCUCUCCUUCUCGUGAUCAUCAGGAGUUCUUUCUUGUGGUCACUUUCUCUUCGGCCUCCUUCUCGCUCAAUGUGGAUUCUGUAGGUAUUGCCUUACAAUGCUGCAUUGGCGGAAUCAGUUCUGGUUUCAAGGUGAAGCAAAUCAAUCCGUGCGCUUUUAAGUUCUCGGUAGCCAAUAAUAAAGUGGGUCAUUUCAUCUAUGGUCUCAAGGAUCGAGUGUGGCCGGAUUUUGUGUGUCACUUUCAUCUAUUCAAUGGCCGUUUCACUCGAGCUCCGAUUUCUCCUGAUAUUUGGCAUGCGGACAUGGCCUUGUCAGAGCUUGAUAAUCGCCGUUCUAUGGCGGUCUCAUCAAAACUGGAUUUCUUCACUCAAGCCUCUAUUGAUCAGGACUCAUCACGAAGAGAAUUCAGUAAGUUUGCAUUGGUCCCGAUGACACAUAUGAAUUUCUCUAAUUCCAAUGCUGCUGAGGCUUCUUCUUCCAUGAUUUCUCCGGUUCAUUUUGGUUCUUCGAUCAUUGAUCAUGAACAAAUCAAAUUUGGCGAAUUCGUCGCGUGCAUUAAUGACAAACUGGCAAUUAAGGUUAUCAGCAGACACAAAUCCUUAAUGGACAUUUAUCUCUGA
rnacentral:rRNA from 1 species